rnacentral:rRNA from 1 species
UACGUAGGGUGCAAGCGUUGUCCGGAAUUAUUGGGCGUAAAGAGCUCGUAGGCGGUUCGUCGCGUCGGCUGUGAAAUCCCGGAGCUCAACUCCGGGUCUGCAGUCGAUACGGGCGGACUCGAGUUCGGCAGGGGAGACGUGGAAUUCCUGGUGUAGCGGUGAAAUGCGCAGAUAUCAGGAGGAACACCGGUGGCGAAGGCGGGUCUCUGGGCCGAUGACUGACGCUGAGGAGCGAAAGCGUGGGGAGCGAACAGG